rnacentral:rRNA from 1 species
GGGGAAUAUUGCGCAAUGGGGGAAACCCUGACGCAGCGACGCCGUGUGAGGGAAGAAGGCUUUCGGGUCGUAAACCUCUGUCAGAAAGGAAGAACCUCCCAAGUCCGAAUAGGGCUUGGGACUGACGGUACUUUCAAAGGGAGCACCGGCUAACUCCGUGCCAGCAGCCGCGGUAAUACGGAGGGUGCAAGCGUUAAUCGGAAUCACUGAGCGUAAAGCGCGCGUAGGCCGCUUUGUAAGUCGGACGUGAAAGCCCUCGGCUCAACCGGGGAACUGCGUUCGAUACUGCGAGGCUUGAGUCCUGGAGAGGGUGGCGGAAUUCCGGGUGUAGGAGUGAAAUCCGUAGAUAUCCGGAGGAACACCGGUGGCGAAGGCGGCCACCUGGACAGGUACUGACGCUGAGGCGCGAAAGCGUGGGGAGCAAACAG